UACGGAGGGGACUAGCGUUGUUCGGAAUUACUGGGCGUAAAGCGCACGUAGGCGGAUUUGUAAGUCAGGGGUGAAAUCCCGGGGCUCAACCUCGGAACUGCCUUUGAUACUGCAAAUCUCGAGUCCGGAAGAGGUGAGUGGAAUUCCUAGUGUAGCGGUGAAAUGCGCAGAUAUUAGGAAGAACACCGGUGGCGAAGGCGGCUCUCUGGAACGGUACUGACGCUGAGACGCGAAAGCGUGGGGAGCGAACAGG
rnacentral:rRNA from 1 species